rnacentral:rRNA from 1 species
CCUACGGGAGGCAGCAGUGAGGAAUAUUGGUCAAUGGGCGCGAGCCUGAACCAGCCAAGCAGCGUGAAGGAUGACUGCCCUACGGGUUGUAAACUUCUUUUAUAAAGGAAUAAAGUGAGGCGCGUGUGCCUUUUUGUUUGUACUUUAUGAAUAAGGAUAGGCUAACUCCGUGCCAGCAGACGCGGUAAUACGGAGGAUCCGAGCGUUAUCCGGAUUUAUUGGGUUUAAAGGGAGCGUAGAGGGGUUGUUAAGUCAGUUGUGAAAGUUUGCGGCUCAACCGUAAUAUUGCAAUUGAUACUGGCAGUCUUGAGUACAGUUGAGGUAGGCGGAAUUCGUGGUGUAGCGGUGAAAUGCUUAGAUAUCACGAAGAACUCCGAUUGCGAAGGCAGCUUACUAGACUGCCACUGACAUUGAUGCUCGAAAGUGUGGGUAUCAAACAGGAUUAGAUACCCCUGUAGUC